rnacentral:pre_miRNA from 1 species
GGCACUGCCCCCGGUGAGUGGGAGUGGGGCUGGCCUUCUGCCUCUGCCUGUCUGCGCUCUGACUCUCUGCCUGCCUGCAGGAGCU